GACGAACGCUGGCGGCGUGCCUAAUACAUGCAAGUUGAGCGCUGAAGGUUGGUACUUGUACCAACUGGAUGAGCAGCGAACGGGUGAGUAACGCGUGGGGAAUCUGCCUUUGAGCGGGGGACAACAUUUGGAAACGAAUGCUAAUACCGCAUAAAAACUUUAAACACAAGUUUUAAGUUUGAAAGAUGCAAUUGCAUCACUCAAAGAUGAUCCCGCGUUGUAUUAGCUAGUUGGUGAGGUAAAGGCUCACCAAGGCGAUGAUACAUAGCCGACCUGAGAGGGUGAUCGGCCACAUCGGGACUGAGACACGGCCCAAACUCCUAAGGGAGGCAGCAGUAGGGAAUUUUUGGCAAUGGACGAAAGUCUGAACGAGCAACGCCGCGUGAGUGAAGAAGGUUUUCGGAUCGUAAAACUCUGUUGGUAGAGAAGAAAGUUGGUGAGAGUGGAAAGCUCAUCAAGUGACGGUAACUACCCAGAAAGGGACGGCUAACUACGUG
rnacentral:rRNA from 1 species